rnacentral:rRNA from 1 species
GCAAGUCGAGGGGCAGCAUGGAAGAAGCUUGCUUCUUCUGAUGGCUACCCGCUCACGGGUGCGUAACGCGUAUCAAACCUGCCUCAUACUCGGGGAUAGCCUUGCGAAAGUAAGAUUAAUACCCGAUGUUGUUAUGUUACCGCAUGGUGAUAUAACCAAAGAUUUAUCGGUAUGAGAUGGUGAUGCGUCCGAUUAGGUAGUAGGCGGGGUAACGGCCCACCUAGCCUUCGAUCGGUAGGGGUUCUGAGAGGAAGGGC